AUAACCUGAGGAUCUUGUUAAAAUGCAGAUUCUGACUCAAGAUCUGGGUAGGGAUCUGAGAGUCUGCAUUUCUAGCAAGUUCCCUGGUGGUGCCAA
rfam:Ovis aries breed Texel chromosome 1, whole genome shotgun sequence.